UUUAAAACGACUGUUACUUGCAACUGUGCUGUUGGAGCAAGAGAAAACCUGGAAGAAUUCUGAAAUAGCUCUGCUAGUUCUCCUCAUUGCACAACAGUAUGACUGCUACAGAGACAGCAAACAGAGAAAGGGGAGAAUGGGUUGCAAUCAGGGCCCUGGAAGGAGAUUGAAAGAGUCUUACCUGAACAAACCGAAGUGCCUCAGAAGAAAAGACCAAUGCAUAAGGUCUUUUGUGGGGACCCGAGAAAAUGUCAGUACCCCACUUCAUUUCUCUAUGUGGCUCUCCUCCAUCCAUUCACACAGACCUUCCGUCAUCUUCAGAUUGCCUCACUUUUAAUUAAACAGAUCAACAGAUAGUUGAAGAAACUACCUUAAAACUUGAAAAUCAGAGAAGAAAGCACACAAACAGAUGAAGAAAUUGUCUUUGAGAACUAGAACUCAGGAGUAGAGAGGAGUGGAGCAAAGAAACCCACUUUUCAUUUAUAAGUCUUGUUGAAUUGUUUAACUUUUGAAUCUAUAUCCAUGUAUUUUUGUGAUUAUUAUAUGUACAUUUUUAAAGAAAGAAUGUUUCAGGAAUAAACAUUCAACUAUA